ACAUUGACUGAAAAUGUGUAAAACAGUUUCACUGCUUUGAAUCAGGAAACAAAUCUGCUGAAGGAAGCUUCAGGUGAUUCAUGCCUAAACAUCAGGUGAUAAACACAUCUGCAGAGUCUUCAACAGAGGAGUUUUGAUUCCUGACACUUGAAAUAGGUUAUUCUGGCCACUCAAUAAAGGAUGGAUUCAAGGGUACACAAUGAAGGUGCAAUCCUUUCUGAAGAAUGUUCCUUCCACAUGUGCUUCCAAAGAAUGUGUAUUCUGCUGUUGUUGACUGGAAGAUUCUGUAUAAGGUAAGCAAUAAUGUUAUCUUUUACCUUAGAAACUAGAUUACAAAGAGCAAAUAAAAACCCAAAUAUACAAACA
rnacentral:lncRNA from 13 species